UACGGGGGGGGCAAGCGUUGUUCGGAAUUACUGGGCGUAAAGGGCUCGCAGGCGGCCAACUAAGUCAGACGUGAAAUCCCCAGGCUCAACCUGGGAACUGCGUCUGAUACUGGAUGGCUUGAAUUCGGGAGAGGGAUGCAGAAUUCCAGGUGUAGCGGUGAAAUGCGUAGAUAUCUGGAGGAAUACCGGUGGCGAAGGCGGCAUCCUGGACCGACAUUGACGCUGAGGAGCGAAAGCUAGGGGAGCAAACGGG
rnacentral:rRNA from 1 species